UAAGUUAACCAGAUGAUCGCAUCUUUUUAAGAUGAGGAAAGUCCGAGCUCCACAGGAUAGGAUGCCGGGUAACACCCGGUGGAGGUAACUCCCAGGCUAGUGCCACAGAAAUAUACCGCUUUUAAUGAAAGGGUUUUCUUUGAAAACUCUUCUGAAAGAGUAAGGGUGAAAAGGUAAGGUAAGAGCUUACCGGGUUUCAGGUAACUGGAAUGCCAGGUAAACCCCAUCCGGAGUAAGUCCAAAUAGGGAGAAUAUAAAAGUGAUCCGCUUUUCUCCGGGUAAGGACGCUUGAGGGUUCAGGCAACUGUUCCCCUAGAUAGAUGAUCAUCUGAUACAGAACUCGGCUUACAGGUUAGCUUAUUUU
rnacentral:RNase_P_RNA from 1 species